rnacentral:siRNA from 1 species
UCCACUCUUUUCUUGUGCAUGGUU